GAGGUUAUAGCUCAGUGGUAGAGCGCAUGAUUAGCAUGCAUGUGGUCCUGGGUUCAAUUCCCAGUACCUCCA
rnacentral:tRNA from 1 species